AUCUGUACGUUCGUACAAUAGAUUGGAUUUCCUUUUCGAUUACCUGGUGCAACGUUACUUUUGUUUUUGAAUAAGGAGAUACGCGAUUUAUGGAAGGUACAGUUAAAUGGUUCAACGCAGAUAAGGGUUAUGGCUUCAUUACUGGCGACGACGGCAAGGAUGUAUUCGUACAUUUCUCUGCUAUCCAGGGCGACGGUUACAAGUCUCUCGACGAAGGCCAACACGUCACUUACGACGUUGAGGAAUCCGAUCGUGGGCCCCAAGCUGCCAACGUUGUUAAGCAGUAAUUUUGCUGAUUAACAGAGAAUCCCCCGAGUGCAAUGCUCGGGGGAUUUUU
rnacentral:other from 1 species